UAGGAAAACAGGUGUUUAGACCUGUCACGUCACACUGUGACGUCACGGCUACUUGAGGGCGCUCCAAGUCAGUUUAAUAUGCAAAGGAAUUACGGUGCUGCUAGACCUCCAGGAAUCGCAUAUCGCUAAUGUAAGAGAAACAGUAAUUUUCAUAAGUAAGCCCCCGCUUUGUGAAUUACAGUGAUCAUACUGAUAUGAUCGUGGUUCAAAACCCACUAAUGCAUUUUACACAAAUUAUCAAGUUUAUUCAACAUUUGUAUGUAUACGAGUUUGACAAGUCCUAAUUUGUGAUACUAAAACAAAACGUAACAUCUAUCCUCGUCAUUUGCUCCAAGCUGCUGGAGACAUCCAUCUCCAAAUAUCAGGUCAAGUGAAAUAACAUAACAGGAACAGACAGCCGCUUGUUAACGAAAUUGUGCACGUGAGCAGCAAGGAUUCACCGUGGAAUAUCGACAUCUCGCCGGCUAACAUAACUCCGACGGCCGUGCUCUUCAGCUGAGUGAGUUCACGAGGGUAUCGGAACGACUAUCGUCUGUACUCGCGCCGCGUACAGCAAGCAGCGGCAGGAGGAGCAACCCUCGAGGGUAGAAGAUCCGACCAGACACCGGUACUGUUCGAUUUAACUCACACGCACACCUCCUUCAUUAAGAAAUAAGGAAGAUCGUGCACGCCUCGCAUGUGUGUGGUAAGAGUUUCGGAGCCACUCCCGGAGGACCUAUAUCAGCUAUUCUCUGGAGGAAUAUUAGCGCGGACUGACCGAAGGAUUAUAGUCCAGUUCUCAUGUCCAAUCAUCCGUUGGUAAUAAUCUGGACAGGAUCUGAAGGGAUUAUUACAGUCAGCUGGGAAUUAUUGCUCUUGUGAAACGGGUUGCCGCAUCGUUGUGAUUGGGUGCUGGGACCUCUACUAGAGGAUGCGCUGCUCUUGGGACUUAAUGUGACAGCGAAUUCAAACUAAGCCCACCGUUGCAAUUGUGUCGUUGGAAAGAUUUACGCGGGAAAUUAUCUGAACUGGAAGGAUGUCCAAGUCACAGAAACGAAGGGCUACGGUCCGUCGACCGGGGCAUGGGCACCAGGGAUCAAGGAAGAACCAUUCCAGCACACAUGAUUCCCAUGGUCAGGAUAAGAAACAGGUA